AGUAAACGCUGGCGGCAUGCCUUACACAUGCAAGUCGAACGGUAACGCGGGGCAACCUGGCGACGAGUGGCGAACGGGUGAGUAAAGCAUCGGAACGUGCCCAGUAGUGGGGGAUAGCCCGGCGAGAGCCGGAUUAAUACCGCAUACGACCUAUGGGUGAAAGGGGGGGAUCGCAAGACCUCUCGCUAUUGGAGCGGCCGAUGUCAGAUUAGGUAGUUGGUGGGGUAAAGGCCUACCAAGCCGACGAUCUGUAGCUGGUCUGAGAGGACGACCAGCCACACUGGGACUGAGACACGGCCCAGACUCCUACGGGAGGCAGCAGUGGGGAAUUUUGGACAAUGGGCGCAAGCCUGAUCCAGCCAUGCCGCGUGCGGGAAGAAGGCCUUCGGGUUGUAAACCGCUUUUGUCAGGGAAGGAAUCCUUUGGGUUAAUACCUCGGGGGGAUGACGGUACCUGAAGAAUAAGCACCGGCUAACAACGUGCCAGCAGCCGCGGUAA
rnacentral:rRNA from 1 species